AGUGAACGCUGGCGGUAGGCCUAACACAUGCAAGUCGAACGGCAGCACAGUAAGAGCUUGCUCUUACGGGUGGCGAGUGGCGGACGGGUGAGGAAUACAUCGGAAUCUACUUUUUCGUGGGGGAUAACGUAGGGAAACUUACGCUAAUACCGCAUACGACCUACGGGUGAAAGCAGGGGAUCUUCGGACCUUGCGCGAUUGAAUGAGCCGAUGUCGGAUUAGCUAGUUGGCGGGGUAAAGGCCCACCAAGGCAACGAUCCGUAGCUGGCCUGAGAGGAUGAUCAGCCACACUGGAACUGAGACACGGUCCAGACUCCUACGGGAGGCAGCAGUAGGGAAUCUUGGACAAUGGGCGAAAGCCUGACGCAGCAAUACCGCGUGGGUGAAGAAGGCCUUCGGGUUGUAAAGCCCUGCUGUUGGGAAAGAAAAGCAGUAGGUUAAUCCCUGGCUGUUCUGACGGUACCUAAAGAAUAAGCACCGGCUAACUUCGUG
rnacentral:rRNA from 1 species